AAUCCAUAGGUUAAUGAGGCGAACCGGGGGAACUGAAACAUCUAAGUACCCCGAGGAAAAGAAAUCAACCGAGAUUCCCCCAGUAGCGGCGAGCGAACGGGGAGGAGCCCAGAGCCUGAAUCAGCAUGUGUGUUAGUGGAAGCGUCUGGAAAGGCGCGCGAUACAGGGUGACAGCCCCGUACACAAAAGCGCAUGUGCUGUGAGCUCGAUGAGUAGGGCGGGACACGUGGUAUCCUGUCUGAAUAUGGGGGGACCAUCCUCCAAGGCUAAAUACUCCUGACUGACCGAUAGUGAACCAGUACCGUGAGGGAAAGGCGAAAAGAACCCCGGCGAGGGGAGUGAAAAAGAACCUGAAACCGUGUACGUACAAGCAGUGGGAGCACAGGUUUACCUGUGUGACUGCGUACCUUUUGUAUAAUGGGUCAGCGACUUAUAUUCUGUAGCAAGGUUAACCGAAUAGGGGAGCCGGAGGGAAACCGAGUCUUAAUUGGGCGUUAAGUUGCAGGGUAUAGACCCGAAACCCGGUGAUCUAGCCAUGGGCAGGUUGAAGGUUGGGUAACACUAACUGGAGGACCGAACCGACUAAUGUUGAAAAAUUAGCGGAUGACCUGUGGCUGGGGGUGAAAGGCCAAUCAAACCGGGAGAUAGCUGGUUCUCCCCGAAAGCUAUUUAGGUAGCGCCUCGUGAAUUCAUCUCCGGGGGUAGAGCACUGUUUCGGCUAGGGGGCCAUCCCGGCUUACCAACCCGAUGCAAACUGCGAAUACCGGAGAAUGUUAUCACGGGAGACACACGGCGGGUGCUAACGUCCGUCGUGAAGAGGGAAACAACCCAGACCGCCAGCUAAGGUCCCAAAGUCAUGGUUAAGUGGGAAACGAUGUGGGAAGGCCCAGACAGCCAGGAUGUUGGCUUAGAAGCAGCCAUCAUUUAAAGAAAGCGUAAUAGCUCACUGGUCGAGUCGGCCUGCGCGGAAGAUGUAACGGGGCUAAACCAUGCACCGAAGCUGCGGCAGCGAACGUAUCACUUAAAGCGAUUCA
rnacentral:rRNA from 1 species